rnacentral:rRNA from 1 species
GAUGAACGCUGGCGGCGUGCCUAAUACAUGCAAGUCGAGCGAAUGGAUUAAGAGCUUGCUCUUAUGAAGUUAGCGGCGGACGGGUGAGUAACACGUGAGUAACCUGCCCAUAAGACUGGGAUAACUCCGGGAAACCGGGGCUAAUACCGGAUAACAUUUUGAACCGCAUGGUUCGAAAUUGAAAGGCGGCUUCGGCUGUCACUUCUGGAUGGACCCGCGUCGCAUUAGCUAGUUGGUGAGGUAACGGCUCACCAAGGCAACGAUGCGUAGCCGACCUGAGAGGGUGAUCGGUCACACUGGGACUGAGACACGGCCCAGACUCCUACGGGAGGCAGCAGUAGGGAAUCUUCCGCAAUGGACGAAAGUCUGACGGAGCAACGCCGCGUGAGUGAUGAAGGCUUUCGGGUCGUAAAACUCUGUUGUUAGGGAAGAACAAGUGCUAGUUGAAUAAGCUGACACCUUGACGGUACCUAACCAGAAAGCCACGGCUAACUACGUGCCAGCCGCCGCAGUAA